UUGUGGUGGUGCACACGCUUAACUUUGAAUGAACCUACUCUGAGUCGAUUGAACCAACUCAAAUCAGCUGUUCUGGAACCGAAAACUCAGAGUUUCCCAUCUCAGAGUAAAUCCACUCAGAGUUCAGGGUUAGGCUCAGUUUGUUAACACUCCUUCCUGAAACGGACCCCAGAGGUAAAACUCAAUU